GUCCAUAUAUAUACGAAUGGUCAUUUCUUCUUUUGAAACCGAGAUAGACAGACGCCAGCAUGGUGGAACUCAUCAGCCCGAAAGAUGAGUGUGGAUUGAAAUGGGCUUCGAUAGGACUUAUUGGAUGUGGGUCUAUGGAUUUGGGUUGUGAUUCAGUGACGAGCCAAGCUGCAGCUGCAUUGAUCCAAGGCGGACAGGACAGGUAUAUUGUCACCAUAUAACAAGAUUGAGCUUACGGUGAUUGUGGUUUUAGCCUCCCGGUGGUCGGGAUGUCUGUUUGCUGGCGAUGCGAAGAUGCCGAUGCUGGUGCUCCUCUACGCGGUUGCAGUAGCGACAAGACUUUUGUUUAUGGUAUGACUCGAUUGAAAUGUUUUGCCUCUUCUUCUUCUU